GAUCAGGUGGUCGACUGGUUAAGGGGAUGGUCUGCUAAUCCAUUGAGUUUUCCCGUGUGAGUUCGAAUCUCAUCCUGAUCG
rnacentral:tRNA from 1 species